GACAGAGGGUGCAAACGUUGUUCGGAAUUACUGGGCGUAAAGCGCGUGUAGGCUGCUCGGAAAGUCGGAUGUGAAAGCCCUGGGCUUAACCUAGGAAGUGCAUUCGAAACUUCCGAGCUGGAGUGCUGGAGAGGAAGGCGGAAUUCUCGGUGUAGAGGUGAAAUUCGUAGAUAUCGAGAGGAACACCGGUGGCGAAGGCGGCCUUCUGGACAGUGACUGACGCUGAGACGCGAAAGCGUGGGGGGCAAACAGG
rnacentral:rRNA from 1 species